rnacentral:rRNA from 1 species
GGCCAGACUCCUACGGGAGGCAGCAGUGAGGAAUAUUGGUCAAUGGGCGCGAGCCUGAACCAGCCAAGUCGCGUGAGGGAGGACGGCCCUACGGGUUGUAAACCUCUUUUGUCAGGGAGCAAAGGGCGCCACGUGUGGCGUUUUGCGAGUACCUGAAGAAAAAGCAUCGGCUAACUCCGUGCCAGCAGCCGCGGUAAUACGGAGGAUGCGAGCGUUAUCCGGAUUUAUUGGGUUUAAAGGGUGCGUAGGCGGACGCUUAAGUCAGCGGUAAAAUUGCGGGGCUCAACCUCGUCGAGCCGUUGAAACUGGGUGCCUUGAGUGGGCGAGAAGUACGCGGAAUGCGUGGUGCAGCGGUGAAAUGCAUAGAUAUCACGCAGAACUCCGAUUGCGAAGGCAGCGUACCGGCGCCCAACUGACGCUGAAGCACGAAGGCGUGGGUAUCGAACAGGAUUAGAUACCCUUGUA